GAGAAGUGAAAUAAACAAAUACGACUCAGUUCCUUUAGGAUUCGAUACAAUUAUUUUUUCUCUGUGCAGCAACCUGUGGUCGUGCUAAUAAAAAUUCCAAUGAGUUUGCUUCAACCAAGUCAAACUGUACCAGGAAGUCAGUGCAGUACUUGGUUUUGAUCUUCACCGGACAUCUAAGCAGGAAAACAAACAGCUCUGUGGUUCAGUUUCUAGCCUUCAGAGAUACCCGGUCAGCUGUAAAGUAAAAGACACAAAAAACCAAUUGACGAAGAGCUGGUCAACGCUUUUAACAUGAAAGUAGUAUCUCUUCAACUUGCUACCUCAACAACCUCAUUUUCACCGUCACUAUAAUCUCCCCAACGCUUGGUUCCUUUCUCCUCAAGAACGACAGUAUUACACGUUUCUUUUGAAGCAGUAAUCUCAUCAGAUAGUGCAGGAGUAUCUACAGACAUUUCUCCAUUUUCACAUGGUGAUUUCUCAUCAUCGUUAGGAAUGUCAUGUAGUUUUUCUACAUCUUCUUCCUGAGCCUGCAUGAUCUGCUGACUUUCUGUCUCAUCAGUUACCAAACUACUGGAGGUAUCCACUUCAGUCCCACCAGCCAUCGCUUUAUCGUGAUUUUCAGCAGCUUCUUCCACAGUCACAGCUAAAGGGGAUUCUCCUGCUUCAACUGGAGAUAUUGAAAUUCCGUCUUCAGUCACUGGUGUACUGUUCAAGGAUGCUGGAGAACCAUCUGGAGAUACUGGUAUGCUAUUUGGUGAUAUCGGGUAUCCAUUUGGUGAAACAGGCAUACCAUUUGGUGAAGCCAUGUAACCAUUUGGAGCAACCGGAAAGCCAUUUGGAACCCAUGGUUGUCCAGGGACAAACUCAGCUGCAUGUGGGUUCAUGAUUCUAGGAAUAGCGAAAUGGCUGGCAUCCCCAUUAGGUUCAGCAUUGAGAAAAGCAGGCUUGUUUCGUGGAACUCGAUUUCCAGACCUACCAUAGCCACCUGACAAGCGUGGACCAUACGGAACUCGUGCUGUUGCUGACUGAUGUGGUGAUCUACGAACAGGACUCAGAGGAAGCAAAGGAGGGAUAUUCACAGGAGGGGGCAAUAUUCCUCCAUGCUCCUUGAAACCUGGUGCUGGGAUAGUGCCAAAAACUGGAAUGGGUGAUGGAUUAAAUGGUGGUGCAGCUGCCGAAAGUUUCUUGGAUGCUUCUUUUACAGUCUCAGAAUCACCUUGCUGGUCUGAUUCAGUAGGCACGGUACUAGCAUUGCUAGUAAUAUCUUUAUCUACUCCAGUUGGCAAUGUGACACUUCCUAGAUCACCAGGUUCAUCAUCAUUCUUUUCCUUAACUGCAGCUCCUUCAUUUGUAAGACAAGCAUCCUUCUCUGUCACUAAAUCAGUAGCAGCUUUGCUUUCCAGAAUAUUGACUUUGGAAGUAGCAUCUGAAUCACUGGAACCAUUAUUUUGGAUACCCGGAAUAGAGCUAUUUGUAGAAGCUGUGACAACUCCGUCCAUCUCCCCAGAAGUGUCAGCUUUUGUCCCCUCAGAAGAUUCGGAUGAUACAGGUGCUUUCUCUUUACUUUGUUGAGCGUCAUUGACUGCUUGAUUGGUUUUCUCACCGGAAUCAUCAUGUUGCUUCUCUUCACCGACUUUCUGAGCCUUUUCUCCAUCAUUGGUCCUCGCUGUUGUCGGUAGAGUUGAAUCAGUUGCCACAGUCUCCUUGUUUUGUUCUGAAUUACUAUCCUUUGGCAAUUGCUCUGCCACUGCUUUCACAAUGGUACCAGGUGGAGCUAAAGCAACUUCUUUGUAAGAAAACAGUUUUCCAGCUGCCUGAACACUGAUUGAGCUGACAAUUGAAUUAGUUUUGACAACUUGUUCAGCUUGAGCAGGGGUGAGCGGUGCCGAUUUGGGCUUAGAAGAUCUCUCAGUACCACCAGAUGGUGAAGCAGCGCUGUUUAACUUAGGGCUGAAACUAGCACUCUUCACAAACUUCUUUGAAGCAGGAGAUAGCCCAGAUGAUGCCGCAGAUUCAUUUGGAGUCAAUCUUGGAGAAGGAAAAUUAGUGGUUUUACCUCGAGCUCUUGGUAAAUGGGAAGCAUUCGUGAAGUUGGUGUUAAGUUUUGCAAGGUUAGGUCUCCUAGAACUAGAAAUCUUACGCCCCAUUGUUGAACGACCUUUGGGUAAAGCCUCUUGCCAUCCUUCCUCAGAGGUAUCCUCUAAUAUCACAUCGUCAUUUUUCUCCAGUAGUGUCUGCUCUAUCAAAAUGUGUUCAGAUUCCUUAGGUGUGGGUUCUGCAAUCUUCAAUUCUGAUUUGUUCUCUAAUUCCGACUUGUUCUCUUUAUCACUGGAGUUCUCCACAACAGGACUAGUUGGAGAAAGAAGUUCAUCCUUCUCAAAUUCAUCGGUAGCUAAUCCCCCAUUUUGUCCUGCUUUGCCUUUAACCUUUGCACGAGCUUGCUUCUUUUGCGCUUCUCUAGCUUUCAUCUCAGCAUCUGGAGCUAUGUAAUCCAACAAAUCCGAGACACUUAGAUGGCCUUUGCUAGAGAUAGAAGCAUCAGGCUUCGGGGUACCAUUUCGUGCAGCUUCUUGCUGCUCAAGUGCUUUAGAUUCAAAAUACUCAAGCCAUGCCGCAGCAUCCUGCAGAAAAUUCUGAGUACGU
rnacentral:misc_RNA from 1 species